rnacentral:rRNA from 1 species
GACGAACGCUGGCGGUGUGCUUAACACAUGCAAGUCGAACGGCAAGGCCCUGCUUUUGUGGGGUGCUCGAGUGGCGAACGGGUGAGUAACACGUGAGUAACCUGCCCUUGACUUUGGGAUAACUUCAGGAAACUGGGGCUAAUACCGGAUAGGAGCUCCUGCUGCAUGGUGGGGGUUGGAAAGUUUCGGCGGUUGUGGAUGGACUCGCGGCUUACGAGUUUGUUGGUGGGGUAGUGGCUUACCAAGGCUUUGACGGGUAGCCGGCCUGAGAGGGUGACCGGCGACAUUGGGACUGAGAUACGGACCAGACUCCUACGGGAGACAGAAGUGGGGAAUAUUGCACAAUGGGCGGAAGCCUGAUGCAGCAGCGCCGCGUGCGGGAAGACGGCCUUCGGGUUGUAAACCGCUUUCGCCUGUGACGAAGCGUGAGUGACGGUAAUGGGUAAAGAAGCACCGGCUAACUACGUG